rnacentral:rRNA from 1 species
AUCUACCGUCAUACCAUGCUAAAUGCACCCAAUCUUGUCUGAUCUCAGAAGCUAAGCAGGGUCAGGCCUGGUUAAUACUUGGAUGGGAGAAG